rnacentral:lncRNA from 10 species
CUUGGACCCUCCGAGAUCCAGGGAAAGGAACUCCCCAUUUUCUAUUAAGAAACAAAUUCAGUUUCCAUUUAUUGAGGGUCUACUACAGAUAUGGCAAGCUCUGCAUUAGAGGUUGGACAUAUAAUCAACGUCUUCAAAUCACAGCCACUAGGUAUCAUUAUGCUCAUUUGCCAAGGCUGAGGACUCUGGCCAUUUCUCAGAGCCCUCGAGGUAAGGCGCAGAGCUGAGAUGUGAACUAAGUCAGCCUGACUCUGCAGCCUGAGCCCAACCCACUGGCUCAUGCUGUAGGAAUGUGCAUGUCAACUGGAGAGGGCAAAUGUGAGCACAGCCCUUGCGGUGGUAUGAGAGGUGGCCUCGACGGUGGAGCCCAUCCUGGGAUGCCAUCACUGGGAAGAGAGAGCUGGUGCUCCCAGCCUGGGGAAACUCGGAUAAAGGUGACAGGAGGCUCCAUCCCAGGCACAUUCCCGGUGAAAGGGCAUUUUAUCCAGGGUGAAGAACACGUGCUACUGUCUACAGAGUGCGUCCACGUACGUCACCUCUUCUCAUCGCCACAGCAUCCCUUUGAGGCAGCCACGUAAGGCCAAAGUUCUUGUCCCCAGGUGAGAGGUGAGGUGAGAGGGCUGCAGAGCUGUGGCUACGUGGGACUGUAACAUAGGCUCUAGAUCACUCACCCCCAUGGCCUGGCUUUGGCUCACAGCUCUGUCGGGGAUGCAUAAGCCCGACAGACAAAUUAUACCAAAUGCACAGGGCUCACAUUACCUUCGCGCUAGGACAGGGGCCCGGUCAUCAGCCAGGCCUCAGAGGCCAGGACCCAGCUCAGUCUCGUGACAACGAACAGACCCAAGACACUGAAAUGGUACCAUGGCUCCGGGGACUCGGGGGCCAGAGAAAGACCAGAAAAUCAUCAGACAGCCAUUAGCAAAAAAGGACAAUUGAGCUUUCAGCAUAUUUGAGAAACAGGAUGGAACCAGGUCAGGCUUCAUUAAGGGCUUCCUGUUCCCCCAAGGCUGUUUAUGACUAAUUGGUUGGCACAGCCACACACAAGCCGAGAAAACUGGAUGCAAAGGACGUGACCCAAGUAAUUGGGGUUGGGGAAGGGUGGGAUGCUGUAUGUGGGAACCAAACUUGAUUCUUUCCUACCCAAAGGGCUCUCAGACAGUGCCCCUGAACCUACUGAUCAUUUUUGCUUAGCCUGAGAGUAUAAAAAACUCCAGGCAUCCACACAAUGUUAUCCCUGCCAUGUAAGUCCUGUUUUUUGAGACCCAGUUGGGGUCAUUUGCGACUGGGGUUUAAUGGGGUCAUUGAGCACUUGGUUUGCUGCUGCUCUUUCAAUAAGUUGAGGUUAUGACAGAAAGAAUGUCAACUCAGCAACAGUUUCCUUUUGAUCUUCUGUAUCUGCCACAGCACCAGGAACAGUUGUUAGAAGGGAAAAGUGAAACAUAUGUUGGGACAAAAAGCACCUAUUUUCAAUCCAAACAAGUCAUGUGGGGUAUGUGUAACCAGGGACACACGUCCCAGGCACUAAGGGAGAGUACUGGUGCUGCAGAAAACCAAGCCCACUUUUGGAGAGACACACAAACCAUCAUGGGAGAUAUCGUCUAAGCAAGAAAGCCAACCAGCAGCCCGUUUCACUUAGAAAGAGCAAAUCCAACAUUCAAGACUCAAGACUGAAUUGCAGAAGGUGGGAGCUGGAGGGGCCUUAGAGCUCGUCUAGUCCAAAGGUCUCACAUUAGGAAUGAGAGUCAUAAAAAAUUCCGCUCUUUGACCCAGGGCUUUCAUUUCCAGAACCU